GGUAAUCUUCUGAACACGCAUCGUGAUGGGGAUAGAUUAUUGGAAUUAUUAAUCUUCAACGAGGAAUUCCUAGUAAGCGCGAGUCAUCAGCUCGUGCUGAUUACGUCCCUGCCCUUUGUACACACCGUUCCGGCUGUAAGCACCUACCCAUAUGAGUGAUCCG
rnacentral:rRNA from 1 species